UACGGAGGGUGCGAGCGUUGUUCGGAAUCACUGGGCGUAAAGGGCGUGUAGGCGGUCCGCUAAGUCUGAUGUGAAAGCCCGGGGCUCACCCCCCGGAAGUGCAUUGGAAACUGACGACUCGAGUCCCGGCAGAGGGAGGGUGGAAUUCCUGGGUGUAGCGGUGAAAUGCGUAGAUAUCAGGAGGAACACCGGUGGCGAAGGCGGCCCUCUGGACGGUGACUGACGCUGGAGACGCGAAAGCGUGGGGAGCAAACAGG
rnacentral:rRNA from 1 species